AAGUCGUAACAAGGUCUCCGUAGGUGAACCUGCGGAGGGAUCAUUACAGAGAACAUGCCCUUCGGGGUAGAUCUCCCACCCUUUGUUUACAAUACCUUUGUUGCUUUGGCAGGCCCGCCUCCGGGCCGCCGGCUUCGGCUGGCCAGCGUCUGCCAGAGGAAUCAAAACUCUUAUUAUUCUUGUCGUCUGAGUACUAUUUAAUAGUUAAAACUUUCAACAACGGAUCUCUUGGUUCUG
rnacentral:misc_RNA from 1 species